rnacentral:ncRNA from 2 species
CUCGUGACUGCGUGCCUUUUGAAGAAUGAGCCUGCGAGUUUGCGGUGUGUUGCGAGGUUAACCCGUGUGGGGAAGCCGUAGCGAAAGCGAGUCCGAACAGGGCGUUUUAGUAGCACGCUCAAGACCCGAAGCGGAGUGAUCUAGCCAUGGGCAGGUUGAAGCGGAGGUAAGACUUCGUGGAGGACCGAACCCACCAGGGUUGAAAACCUGGGGGAUGACCUGUGGUUAGGGGUGAAAGGCCAAUCAAACUCCGUGAUAGCUGGUUCUCCCCGAAAUGCAUUUAGGUGCAGCGUCGUGUGUUUCUUGCCGGAGGUAGAGCACUGGAUAGGCGAUGGGCCCUACCGGGUUACUGACCUUAGCCAAACUCCGAAUGCCGGUAAGUGAGAGCACGGCAGUGAGACUGUGGGGGAUAAGCUCCAUGGUCGAGAGGGAAACAGCCCAGAGCAUCGACUAAGGCCCCUAAGCGUACGCUAAGUGGGAAAGGAUGUGGAGUCGCAGAGACAACCAGGAGGUUGGCUUAGAAGCAGCCACCCUUGAAAGAGUGCGUAAUAGCUCACUGGUCAAGUGAUUCCGCGCCGACAAUGUAGCGGGGCUCAAGCGUACCGCCGAAGUCGUGUCAUUGCAGCAUGUACUCCCAACGGAGGCUGUGAUGGGUAGGGGAGCGUCGUGUGCCGGGUGAAGCAGCCGCGGAAGCGAGUUGUGGACGGUUCACGAGUGAGAAUGCAGGCAUGAGUAGCGAUACACACGUGAGAAACGUGUGCGCCGAUUGACUAAGGGUUCCUGGGUCAAGCUGAUCUGCCCAGGGUAAGUCGGGACCUAAGGCGAGGCCGACAGGCGUAGUCGAUGGACAACCGGUUGAUAUUCCGGUACCCGCUUUGAAACGCCCAAUAUCGA